rnacentral:rRNA from 1 species
ACUACGGUAGGCAGCAGUGGGGAAUAUUGGACAAUGGGCGAAAGCCUGAUCCAGCCAUUCCGCGUGUGUGAAGAAGGCCUUCGGGUUGUAAAGCACUUUCAGUGGGGAAGAAAGCCUUGGGGCUAAUACCCUCGAGGAAGGACAUCACCCACAGAAGAAGCACCGGCUAACUCCGUGCCAGCAGCCGCGGUAAUACGGAGGGUGCGAGCGUUAAUCGGAAUUACUGGGCGGAAAGCGCGCGUAGGCGGUCUGAUAAGUCGGUUGUGAAAGACCCGGGCUCAACCUGGGAACGGCAUCCGGAACUGUCAGGCUAGAGUGCAGGAGAGGAAGGUAGAAUUCCCGGUGUAGCGGUGAAAUGCGUAGAGAUCGGGAGGAAUACCAGUGGCGAAGGCGGCCUUCUGGACUGACACUGACGCUGAGGUGCGAAAGCGUGGGUAGCAAACAGGAUUAGAUACCCCAGUAGUC